rnacentral:rRNA from 1 species
AUAGGAAAUUAAGAGCAUACGGUGGAUGCCUAGACUAAAAGAAGCGAAGAAAGACGUGGUAUGGCUGCGAUAAGUUUCGGGGAGGCGCCUAACAGCCUUCGAUCCGGAAAUGUCUGAAUGGGGAAACCUCAUCCGAGUAAUGUCGGAUGUUCUGCUGACUUGAUCAGCAGAAGCGCACCUGGGGAAGUGAAACAUCUCAGUACCCAGAGGAAAAGAAAACAAUUCUGUGAAUGCAGAAAAAUUCUCUAAGUAGCGGCGAGCGAAAAGGGAGGAGCCCAAACCGCGCGAAUAUGUAGCAAUACAUAUAUGCACGGGGUUGUAAGGCAGCAAUGUAGAUUACUAGAAGAGUCAAAAAACAUUUUGAUAGAUGAAGUUGUUGGAAACCAACGCCAUAGGAGGUGAUAGCCCUGUAAUUGAAAUCAUUAUGUCUCUUUUAUUGCUGUUCUUGAGUACUUCGAGACACGAAUAGCUCGGAGGAAUCCGGCAGAACUAACUGCCAAGGCUAAAUAUUCUUUUAGAUCGAUAGUGAACUAGUACCGUGAGGGAAAGGUGAAAAGAACCCCGGCGAGGGGAGUGAAAUAGACCUGAAACCGUAUGCUUACAAGGAGUCGGAGCGGACGUAUUUAUACGAUCCGUCACGGCGUGCCUAUUGAAGAAUGAGCCAACGAGUUUAUGCAUGCUGCAAGGCUAAUCCGUCAAGCGGUGAAGUCGCAGGGAAACCGAGUGUUAAUAGCGCGAAUAAGUAGUAUGCAUAAGACCCGAAGCAAGGUGAGCUACCCAUGAGCAGGAUGAAGUUGCGAGAAAUCGUGAUGGAGGUCCGAACCGGUGAGCCGUUCAACACUCUCGGAUGACUUGUGGGUCGGAGUGAAAAGCUAAUCGAACCUUGUAAUAGCUGGUUGUCUUCGAAAUAGCUUUAGGGUUAGCGUCAUGUGUUCCCUCUGGGGGUAGAGCACUGGAAGAAUUCGACAGGGAGAAAUCUCGCGAAUUCUAUCAAACUCCGAAUACCAGAGAUAAAUAACAUGGCAGUUAGACAGUGGGGGCUAAGCUCCACGCGUCAAAAGGGAAACAGCCCAGAUCUCUAAAUAAGGUCCCUAAAUCUACGUUAAGUGCAUAUCAAGGAGGUGAGAUUUCUCCGACAAUGAGGAUGUUGGCUUAGAAGCAGCCAUCAUUUAAAGAAAGCGUAACAGCUCACUCAUCGAGAGAUCUCGCACCGCAGAUAAUCGGGGCUAAACGUAGUACCGAAUUUGAGGGCUCUGGCGGCGUUCGCGCCGCCAGAGCGGUAGAAGACUAUUCCACUCUUGCUGUGAAGGAGAAGGCGUGAGCCACUCUGGAGCGUGUGGAAGUAAAAAUGUUGGCACAAGUAACCGCAAGGAAGGUGAGAUCCCUUCCCGCCGAAAGACUAAGGUUUCCAGAGCUAUGAUUGUCAACUCUGGGUUAGUCGGGCCUAAGGAGAUGGCGAAAGCCGUAUCUGAUGGACACAUGGUUAAUAUUCCAUGACUUCGUAUCUGUGCGAUGGGAGGACGGAGGGUAGUAUGUACAGCUCAUUAUUGGAUUUGAGUUUGUGACGUAAGUGGGGUGCGCAGGAAAAUCCGCGUACUGCCUUAGAUGGCAACUUGCAAGCGUAGCAGAAAUGUGAGGGUUCGCCCUUGCAGAUUGUACAAAGCACGCUCCCGAGAAAAAUCUCUAAGCUUCAACAGAUAUGAAUCCGUACCGUAAACCGACACAGGUAGUCAGGUCGAGAAGACCAAGGCGAACGAGUGAUUGAUCCCCAAGGAACUCGGCAAAAUAGCAGCCGUAACUUUGGAAUAAGGCUUGGCUAUAGCAAUAUAGCCCGCAGCGAAAGACUCUCUGGCAACUGUUUACCAAAAACACAGCUCCCUGCGAACUCGUAAGAGGAUGUAUAGGGGGUGACACCUGACCAAUGCGAGAAGGUCAACUAUCGGUGGUCAUAUUCCGCUUUUCAUUUGAGAAAUCGAAUGCGAAGCGGAGUAUGGCUGGCUGAUAUAAGCCCUCGUGAAUGUCGGCCGUAACUAUAACGGUCCUAAGGUAGCGAAGUACCUUGUCGGGUAAGUUCCGACGCGCACGAAUGGUGUAAUGACUGGAGAACUGUCUCGGGGAUUAGCUCGGUGAAAAUACAAUACCGGUGAAGAUGCCGGUUACCUGCAGAUAGACGAAAAGACCCUAGAAGCUUUACUGCAGCUUGAUAUUGACUAUAUUUGUUCACUGCGUAGGAUAGGUGGGAGAGGUUUGAUGGUUACGAUUUCGGUUGUGAUCUACUCGUCAGUGAAAUACCACUCUGUCAACAGGUAUAGUCUAAUCCUCACGGCAAAAACGUGAAGAGACAGUUUCUGGUGGGCAGUUUUACUGGGGCGGUAUCCUCCCAAAAAGUAACGGAGGAGUUUAAAGGUCAGCUAGGCGCGAAUGGAAACCGUGCCGAUAGUGUAAGGGCACAAGCUGGCUUGACUGUAAGGGGUACAUGCCGAGCAGGUGCGAAAGCAGAGCCUAGUGAACCGACCAUACGUUUUAGACGCGAUCGAAGAUUAACGGAUAAAAGCUACUCUAGGGAUAACAGGCUAGUUCCGCCUAAGAGUUCAUAUCGACGGCGGAGUUCGGCACCUCGAUGUCGGCUCACCUUAUCCUGGUGGUGGAGAAGCUACCAAGGGUUUAGCUGUUCGCUAAUUAAAAAGGUACGCGAGCUGGGUUCAAACCGUCCUGAAGCUAAGAAAUUUAUUUUUUAGCUGAAGGACAGUUUGAAUCCGUUGAGGAAAAUAUUCGCGAGAAUAUUUAUGUUAAUUGAGACAAGACCAUGUAUGUACUGUGUGUACAUAUCACGGCGGCACAUAACAGAAAUGUUGUGCGAGAAGUUCACUUAUAUCGGUAAAACCCUACUAAAAUUUUUAGGGGCAAUACCGAGGGAAGCCUAUAUCAUAUAUAGUUGCGCCCGUAGAGACUGAACGUGAACUAUCCAAAAUAUUGGAUAAAGUUACAGUCCGAU